UUAAUAGAUUAUGAAUUCCUUACUUUGGAAGUAGCCCAACUGCCAUUGAAAGAGAGAAAAAUAAUCAAUCUCAUAUUCGAUACAUUGAAUCAACAUCGUACUCGCAUUGUUUACAAUAAUGUUCAAUAUUAUACAUUUGAUAUGCAUUAACAGCUUGUUCAGUGUAGUAAUUCUAUGUGCAUGAUUUAUAGGAUCAUUAAUUCAAAUCAUGACACUUCGAAUUCCAAGUCAUUCAAAUUACGAUACAUGAUGUCACGUGAGUAAGAGAGAAAAAAUGUGGGUGGACAGAUCUGUUGGCAUCCAAGGUGUUGUGAGUUGAUUGGUUUAUAGUCCGAAGUUUUAGGUCCUACCACACCCACGCACCCACCCACACACACACACACAAUCGUAUCAUUGAAAUUUUCUCUUGUUUCAAAUAUUUUAUUAUACUAAGGUCGAACCCAUUAAUUAUAAAAUUAAUUUCUCACACACUGAAAAAGACAUGUCAUUGUCUUAACAGAUAAGAAUGAUCUACCAUGUCUUCUUUUAUUUAAAAAAAAAAAAAAAAAAACACUAGGAUAAUAAUAAAAGCAGGACAAGGGUCCACAACUCUUAUCUUCCUCGUAACCUUACCUUUAAUUUUCACAAUUUUGUUUAUAAUUUAAAGUGGUUUGAUGUCACACACCCACUGGGAUGUUUGAAAUGGCUAAUGUAUGAUAUGAAGGGCCACAGUUCGUAUACCCAUUAAUGUACCAAACUUAUAUCUUAUGCUAUAAAGAACUCACACUAUCUUGAUGAAGUUGAAUAUACUUCAUUCAUCCAUAGUUUUUAGUAGAAGAAAGUCAAUAGCGUCUCAAACUUGUGAGUAGGAUCUUAAUUACUCAAAUUUCCAAGUUUAAAUAUUUUCAUCUAUAUAGAAAUAAUUAGAGUGUGGGAAAAAUCAUAAAAUUUAACUUCUUAUUAUUUUGUAAUAAUAAUAAUAAUAAUAAACAUAUUUCAUACAAAAUAUUAUAAUUUUUGAAUAAAAAUAAUAAGUAUGUGAAAAGCAAUACUACUUGACACUAGAAUAAAAUUUGUUGCUUUAUUUACCAAUAAAUAGAAAGUAUUUUAUUUCUUUUUGUAUUUCAUCACUUUUUAUGUAGGAGAAAUACCAUUCUAUCAUUUUAUUGACAUGUAAAACCGACUUUGUGAAAAAAUUUAAUUGUUGAUCAAUAUUUUUAAUUGAUACAAUCAUUGAACUUCCAUGUUAGCAUUAAAGUGAUUAUCAUUCCAUUUAUACUAAUCAAAGUAACGAAAAAAUUAACUUGACUAUUAAACUGAACAUAACUUUUCAUGUCGAUUAUUUGACCAAAAAAUUUAAGUAUAGUAUUCCCUAUUAUUUUAUUUCGACGGGAUUUUCUAUUAGUAUUUAAAUGUUUUGUUUUGUUAUAUUAUUGGUCUAAAUUAGAAUUAAUUGAAAUAUUUUUUUUUUUUAGUACUGGAAGCCGCUCAUAACCUUAAAUUACUUUUUCAAUUGUUAUUCAAUUAGUAAUAAACUUUUUAAAAAAUAUUAAUUUUACAAAUUUUAUUAUUUUACUUAACAUAAAAUUAUAUUGAUAAAUAAACUUCAUUAGAUGCUUUUAUGACAAAAACUGAAUUAUUAAUCACAUAAUAUUCUUUUAAUUAUUAUUUCGUUAUGGAAAAAAGAAGUAUUUUUUGCCAUAAAAUACCAAAUUAUGACAUAACAAACACAGUUAAACCUCAAUAAAGUAAUACCCUCAGAACUGGAAAAAAAAUAUUUAUUUAACGAGGUUAUUUAUUUAUCGAUAAAUGAAUAAAUUAUUCAUUUAUCGAUAAAUAAAUAUUUAUUAUUUUAGAGAGAGUUUUUCAAUAUAAAAUAUGUACAUUGUAUGUGGUAAGAAAAAUCAAAAGAUACUAAUCAAAGUAUUAUUUGAAUCUAGGGAAGCUCAAAAGUUUUAGUAAAAUUUAAUGUCUCUAAAAAUUAAGUUCACGUACACAGCAAAUGAAAAUGUUUACUCUUUACCUAUAAAAGCUAGAUGUUUGGAAAACAUAUUCUAAGCACAUACAAUAUUUUGUUUCCCUUUUAAUGUCUUCUCAUCAUUUGAAAGGAGUAAAAAAAUCAACUUUAACCGAUAAAAUGAAGAGUGCAAUAUGUGAGCAUAAGAAAGAGAAUCCAACUAUUUGCCAAAAAGAUAUGCAAGCAUGGGUGCAACAAAAGUUUGAUUUGACUAUUAGUCAAUCAACAAUAUUGAACACUCUCAAAAGGGCGUCAGAAUAUUUCUCAAAUGAGAUGAAAAAUAGCGAUGUUAAAAGGCACAAAUCGGCAAAAUAUCAUAAUUUAGAGAGAAGUUUUGUAUGAGUGGUUUCUUUAAAUGCAAAAUAAAGUGAACAUGUUUGGAGAAAUUAUCCAAGGAAAAGCAAAAAGUUUUUGCAAAAAAUGUAUGGUGAAACUAAUCCAGAAUUCAACUUUUCUAGUAGAUGGUUAUAACGUUUCAAGACAAGAUAUGGAAUCAAAUCUUACCGACGUUUUGGUGAAAGUGGUUCAGUUAUCAUAGAGAACAUUGAAAAUGCUUUACCUGGAAUACGAUCAAAACUAGACCAAUUUCAGUUGAAGGAUAUUUACAAUAUGGAUGAAACUGGAUUAUUUUACCGAUUGGAAACUGAUCAUUCACUUGCUACCAAGCAGCUCGAUGGACGCAAAAAAGAUAAGGAGAGAAUUAUUAUUGUUGUUUGUUGCAAUGAUGAUGGAUCUGACAAAGUACUACUUUGGGUUAUUAGUAAGUAUGCAAAUUCUAGAUGCUUUAAAAAUGUGAAUGUGAACAAUCUUAAUUACAAGUAUCGAUUCAACAAGAAAGCUUAGAUGACUGACUUGUUUUUUCAAUAUUUUGUUGGUUGUUUUGAUAAGAGAAUGAAUGACAGAAAGAUUCUCUGAAUUGUAGACAAUUGUCCAACUCAUCCAAAGGUAGUUGAAGGCUUGGGAAAUGUAGAGUUAUUUUUCUUACCUCCUAACACAACGUUUAAGAUUCAACAAUGUAAUGUUGGGAUUAUUCGAGCAUUCAAAGCUCAUUAUCGUCGUCGUUUUAAUUCUAGCAUCUUACAAGGCCUUGAGGUUGAAGCACCAAAUCCUGAAAAAAUUAAUAUUUUGAAUGCUAUUAAUUUUGCUAACAUAGCUUGGAAUUUUGAUGUGAAGACAACAACAAUUGCAAAUUGUUUUCGGCAUU
rnacentral:sRNA from 1 species